rnacentral:rRNA from 1 species
UACAGAGGGUGCAAGCGUUGUUCGGAAUUACUGGGCGUAAAGCGCGCGCAGGCGGAUCCUGUAAGUCUGGAGUGAAAUUUCACCGCUCAACGGUGAAGCUGCUUUGGAUACUGCGGAUCUGGAGACCGGUAGAGGCUGGUAGAAUUGCAGGUGUAGCGGUGGAAUGUGUAGAGAUCUGCAAGAAUACCCGUGGCGAAGGCGGCCAGCUGGGCCGGUUCUGACGCUGAGGCGCGAAAGCGUGGGGAGCAAACAGGG